AUUUAUUUUGAUUAAAGUGAAAGUAGCUUUUCGCCUUGUAUUUCGACAAUUGUGGAAUGAAUUGUCUGGAAAAAGUUGUACCUGUAUCAUGAACAGCGUUGGUAUUGGCAGUAAAGGAUAUGGAAUUCGCAACCAUUAUAACUCACAUAAUAGUUUUGAUUCUGGGUUUUCUGUUUGGAAUAUUUUCAAUUCGUCAACCGUUCCAGAGAAAGACACACUCUGAUCAUGAAGACGAGGCAUUAUUCGUCGGAGAUGAUAGAUGUUGUCCAAUAUGUUACGACAGAAACAGGAGCAUUGCUUUCCAGUGUGGGCACACUUUCUGCAGUCAAUGUUCUGAUCAGCUGACAGACUGUCCUAAUUGUCGCGUGAAAGUCACACAAAGAUUACGAUUGUUCUCAUAAAUAAUUAUGUAAUAUAUGUUUCCGUAUAAAUUAAUCAUGAUAAUUCUUUUUCACGUUAAUUCAAUUUUUUAAAGUUGAAAAAAAUUGAUCAGGAAAAUUACAUUUCUAUUUCGAUAUUAAUGACUUUGACCUUUAUCUUUAAAACGUGAUUAGUUUAUUGAUUACGUUUUUAUGACAUGAUGCUUUACUUCUUUGUCUGCUUUAAUGAACUUUUGUCAGAAUUACAAUGCUUGUGGAAAGAGUUAACGUAGAAAAUUCAGAUUCAUGUUUGUUCAAAUCAUGAUC